AAGUGUGUUGAAUCUCAUUCUUCUCUUCCCUCCUAACACUCGAGCCCGGGCGCGGCGGCGCGUUGUUGAGCACGGCGGCGGCCCGAAGCGGCGGGGGUAGAGGCGCAGGGCGAGGAGCACCCGCCGGAGGCGCUCGAUGUGGCUCCCCCGUCACUCCUCCUUCUACGCUGACUGCAGGGUUAGGAUUUGCUAUUGGAUUGGUGACUGCCGUGAGCUGAUAACCUGUCAGGUUACUAUGAUCUCCCGUCCCUGUUGAUCGAGGUUGCUUUGCUGGUUUUGACUUUGCUCGGCCAUCUCGUUGUAGGUUGCCACCAAUGGGAAUACAGCCAGUGGACUGCUUUUGCUUGUCAGCGACCAGAACAAGAACAAGUCAGUUCUAUGUGUACAUAUUCAACUUUGGGGAUGAUUGGAGACUCUGUGUUCAUAGUUUAUAUGGGUCAUCUUUAUAUCUGAGCCAUGGUGGCUGUGAGAGGUUUUUAACCUACUCAGAAGAUCGAGCGAAGAGAAGCAACUGUCAGGGCUCAGGCUGCUGAAUUGGUAGCUUAUAGGGCAUUCUGAUUAUACUAUUAUUUUGAACCAGAAAAUUGUAAUCGACUCUGCUGCCACCAAUUUAAUAUAUUUCAAAUGUACAUAUAUUUUUGUGGGAACAAGUUUCAUCACUUCUUCACAGACUUCACGGCAUUCUUAGUCGGGAGUAGCUUGGUAACAGCUUAAACUUCAGAUCACUUGCUGUAUAGGGUUGUCAGCAGCAUAAUAAAGUGUCCGAAGUUUAUUCGCUAUUUUUCUUUAUAUUGCAGGUAAGGCUCAAUAUAUCUUUCAGUAUGCAAAUAAUUUCCAUUGAUGACGAUUUGUUUAAAAACUUCCAUGUCGUUUUAAGAAUAUUUUUAUCUUAUUACAUUAUUCUAACAUAUUAAUAUGUGUAAAGAGCUUAUCAAAAUCAGAGUAAUAGACUGUAUCGUACCCAUGACAUUUACAGCCUGCUUGGUACUGAAUAUUGCAGGGAGAUGCAUAGUACAUAUAAAACUAUGUAGGAAAACUGUUUCUUGCACAUUUAGCCGGAUUGCGAUAUAACUUAUAUAUUCCAUUUUACUGUAGUUUAGCAUGUUGUACAAUCCUGCUAUCCAUGGAUGAUUGGGCUUGUUUCUUUCAUGCAGUCCAUUUUCCCUUCAGGAUAUGUUUUGAAAACAUGUUGUCAUGUAGAUUUCUGUGAUCGGGAUGAGACGAUCAAACACCUUUUUCUUGAUUGCCCGCUAGCCAAAGUUUUAGGCGGACGGUCCAUAUUGCUUUUAAUAUUACUCCACCGAAUUCUGUCAACACGUUAUUUGGAACGUGGCUUAACGGGAUAGAGCCCGAAUUAGCGAGACAUAUUCGCG